GGCUGGUUAGUGGAGGAAUAAAUGAAUUUAAUGCAGUCAGAAAGCCACUUGGAUAAUGUGAUUUUUGAUACUGCAGAACCUUUCUUAUUCUCUGCGUAAGAGACAAAGAGUUGAU